AGCGAACGCUGGCGGCAGGCUUAACACAUGCAAGUCGAGCGGGCACUUUCGGGUGUCAGCGGCUGACGGGUGAGUAAAGCGUGGGAACGUGCCCUCUGGUUCGGAAUAACACAGGGAAACUUGAGCUAAUACCGGAUACGCCCUUUUGGGGAAAGGCUUGCUGCCGGAGGAUCGGCUCGCGUCUGAUUAGCUAGUUGGUGAGGUAACGGCUCACCAAGGCGAGGAUCAGUAGCUGGUCUGAGAGGAUGAUCAGCCACACUGGGACUGAGGCACGGCCCAGACUCCUACGGGAGGCAGCAGUGGGGAAUAUUGGACAAGGGGCGCAAGCCUGAUCCAGCCAUGCCGCGGGAGUGAUGAAGGCCUUAGGGUUGUAAAGCUCUUUUAUCCGGGACGAUAAUGACGGUACCGGAGGAAUAAGCCCCGGCUAACUACGUG
rnacentral:rRNA from 1 species